rnacentral:rRNA from 1 species
CCCGCUGAACUUAAGCAUAUCAAUAAGCGGAGGAAAAGAAACUAACAAGGAUUCCCUCAGUAACGGCGAGUGAAGCGGGAAGAGCUCAAAUUUUGAAUCUGGCGGUGUUUGUCCGUCCGAGUUGUAAUCUAGAGAAGCGUCUUCCGCGCUGGACCGUGUACAAGUCUCCUGGAAGGGAGCGUCAUAGAGGGUGAGAAUCCCGUCUUUGACACGGACUACCAGUGCUAUGUGAUGCGCUCUCGACGAGUCGAGUUGUUUGGGAAUGCAGCUCAAAAUGGGUGGUAAAUUCCAUCUAAAGCUAAAUACAGGCGAGAGACCGAUAGCGAACAAGUACCGUGAGGGAAAGAUGAAAAGAACUUUGGAAAGAGAGUUAAACAGUAUGUGAAAUUGCUGAAAGGGAAACGCUUGAUGUCAGUCACGUUGGCUAGGGAUCAACCUUGCUUCUCGCUGGGUGUAUUUCCUAGUGGACGGGUCAGCAUCAGUUUCGGUCGCUGUACAAGGGCAAAGGGAACGUGGCACUCCUUGGAGUGUGUUAUAGCCUUUCGUCGUAUGCAGUGGUUGGGACUGAGGAACUCGGCACGAAAUCUAUUUUGUGCUUAGGAUGCUGGCAUAAUGGCCUUAAGCGACCCGUCUUGAAACACGG